rnacentral:tRNA from 1 species
UCCCGCUUAGUUUAACAGGCAAAACGACAGAAUUUAGAUACUGUAAUUGCUGGUUCGAGUCCAGCAGAGGGAC